GACGAACGCUGGCGGCGUGCUUAACACAUGCGAGUCGAACGGAAAGGCCCUGCUUUUGUGGGGUGCUCGAGUGGCGAACGGGUGAGUAACACGUGAGUAACCUGCCCUUGACUUUGGGAUAACUUCAGGAAACUGGGGCUAAUACCGGAUAGGAGCUCCAGCUGCAUGGUGGGGGUUGGAAAGUUUCGGCGGUUGGGGAUGGACUCGCGGCUUAUCAGCUUGUUGGUGGGGUAGUGGCUUACCAAGGCUUUGACGGGUAGCCGGCCUGAGAGGGUGACCGGCCACAUUGGGACUGAGAUACGGCCCAGACUCCUACGGGAGGCAGCAGUGGGGAAUAUUGCACAAUGGGCGGAAGCCUGAUGCAGCAACGCCGCGUGCGGGAUGACGGCCUUCGGGUUGUAAACCGCUUUCGCCUGUGACGAAGCGUGAGUGACGGUAAUGGGUAAAGAAGCACCGGCUAACUACGUG
rnacentral:rRNA from 1 species